UCUUGCUGCUGCACCCCUUCCGACAGAGGUUGGCAGUUAGCAAGUAUCGCUUUUUCAUGCUUCUCGGAGUGGAGUAUCCUCGUGUGGAUAACAAAUAAUAAUCGUUCGGAUUUAUUCAUUGUCCUAGGUCCUUCGAAAGUUGUUUUGUCGGACGGUUUUGGAAUUAGUUGUGAUGGAUAUGAAAGUGUAAAGGAAGACUCAAACGAAGUAACAUAAAGAGGCAUAUCUACGUUCAUGGCUGCUGGGGACCGUGCCCAGCUGCCGGCGACAAUAGCUGAUAGCCGGAGCGUGGAGAAGUCGAUCGAGGAAGCUGCAGCGAGCGGGACUCUGAACUUGUCGAAUCGGAAAUUGAAAGGGUUUUCCCGAAACGCUAGGAACUAUGACCUGUCCGAUAUUGUGCACGCAGACCUGUCUAAGAACCGUCUCUGUGAGCUGCCAGAGGAGCUGUGCCAGUUCAUCUCCUUGGAGACGCUCAGCCUGUACCACAACUGUAUUCGCUCCCUCACCCCCAGCCUUUGUCAUCUACAGGCUCUCACUUACCUUAACCUCAGCCGUAACCUUAUCUCCAACCUGCCCCCCUCGGUGUGUCAGCUCCCCCUCCUGCGAGUCCUGAUCGUCAGCAACAACAAGCUGUUGGCCCUGCCCGCCUCCAUACACACCCUCACACACCUCCGACAGCUGGAUGUGAGUUGUAAUGAUCUGCAGUGUCUUCCGGUGGAGCUGGGUCAGCUGGAGUGCCUGAGAGACCUCAACCUGAGAAGGAAUCGGCUCACCAUGCUGCCCAAAGAGUUGUCAGAGUUGCCCCUGGUCCGGUUAGACGUUUCCUGUAACUGCAUCUCCCACGUGCCCGUGUGCUACCGCCACCUGCGCCACCUCCAGACCAUUAUAUUGGACAACAACCCCUUGCAGCAGCCGACGGCCCAGGUCUGUUCCAAGGGGAAGUUCCACAUCUUCAAGUUCCUCAACAUCGAGGCCUGCAAGAGAAGCCAGGAGGAACUGGAGAGAGCCCUGAGACCCACCGGGUACAACAGCUGUCACAGGACUCCAACCCAUGACUCUUCAAUCCACAAUUUAACCACUGCAGCCAACCACCAGAGGCAAACAGUUGGAACCUUCUGUGUGAAUACAGCCAAAGACUACAAUGUAAAUCACUCAUCCCCAGUCACCAAAAUUAACAAACUGUUGAGAAAUUUACUGAAGAGGACGACAGCCCAAACAGGAAGUCAUGUGCCAACGCUGUCACAAACAGGAAGUAGCUAAAGGUAAGAUACCUUACAUGAAACGAGCUAGUCCAGGGACUGAGAAAUUGUACUGCCUGAAUUGAUCCAUGUGUGAAAUGUGUUUUCGAAAGCCCUGCUAUGUUUAUUAGUAGCAGAUGAGUGCACAGUGCUGGACUGUUGUGGUUUGAGUAUUUGCUUUCUGAUUGUGUUAUCUGUCUCCCUCUAGUGGUGGCUCACCAGAGAAUCGCCACUCCCAGAAUGGCCUCUGACAACGAUGUGCAAGUGCAGAUCAGAUGUGCACAUCCAUAUCAGGUGUCAUCGUCUCAUACGCCACUCGUUCAGCGCUCUGUUAGCCGAUCAGAGGGUCCGUCGUCUCCCAAGACAUCGUCCCCUCCAGGCCUGACACAGAAACCCUACAGUUUCCUGUUCCGCACCUCGUCGCGCUUCAGCGUCAAGAGUCAGGUCUCUAUCUCAGGCUCUACACAGAGUCUGGUGGAGGCAGGCGUACUGAGUUGCUCUCCUCGUUGCGAAGAGAGGAGAGACCAGUUGUCAUAAAGCUACACAAGACUCUAGAGUCGAUGUUGAAGACCACCCUACCAGAGGAUCUAGGGGAGGUGUUGUCCAAUGGCACGGUCCUCUGCCAGCUGGCCAAUCACGUGCGGCCCCGCGCAGUGUCAAUCAUCCACAUCCCCUCCCCAGCAGUGCCAAAGUUGAGCACUGCCAAGUGUCGUCUCAAUGUGGAGAACUUCAUCGCUGCCUGUCGCAAGCUGGGGGUCCCUGAACGGAGGUGUCUGUGUGCUCUGACGUGUUUCUCUGUAAGCUGCCUGCUGUGCUGCGCUGUGUGGCGGCCCUCAUGAAAUAUGAGGGGGAGGCAAAGGGUGAGACUCGUACCGCCCAGACAGUCGACCCCCACACCCCUGACCUCUCACUGGUCUCGGAGGGCUUCCCGGUCUUCUACUGCCUGGCCAUGGCUCUGAUCUACACACUCUACUACCAACUGGUUGCAUAGAUACUGAGGGAUUGUGUGUGUGAGAGAAACGGUGCGAGAGUGCGUAAACUCACUUGGACUGACACUGACGUGAAUUUGACCACCUAAUGCGAACAUUCAUAUAACCAGGAUUGAAAUGAUCCACCAUGAAUUGUCAAAAAACGCACAUGCAAAACAGACUCGUACACACAAACAUUCAACUGCCCUGGCGUGAGGUAUGCAGGGCGAGAGUGAGGCCCACAACACAGGAAGGACUGUCAGCUGCUCCCUCCAACCCCAUAGCUGCUCCUAAAAAGUACAUGACACAUGAUGACGCACACAGCACACAUCACAGCAGAGCACACUGUGUAUACUUACAACAGCUGAUGUGGUUGGGCUCAACAGGAAACCAUAUGAUAUUAAAAGCAGCAACCUUUGAGUAGAUGUGCCCUUUAAAGUUAAAGGUACUCCUCUGGACCAUCGGCACGAAAAAGGCACCUAUUUAUAUAAGCUAAAAUACCCUACUUUAAAGGUGCCUUCUGACAUGACAGCCUAUGUGAAUGAAUAGCAGAGAAAUACAUUUGUGAAAACACUACAGACAUACAGUAAAACUAAACACUAUAAUGGACAUUUUUAAAGGGCUUCCCUACAGGACUGCCUAUGCAUAGUGCCCUAGUCUUUACCCCUCUGAUGCACAGAAUGUCCUGUCUCCAGUUAGGGAAAGCUACUUAGAGAACUGUAAACACCUGUUGUAACCCUUGAGGGGAUAGUGUAUUUUUCUACCUUUUCUAUUACUCGAUGUCUUUCAAAUAAGAGGACAUUUUGUAAAUAAGCCUCUAAAAUUUGCUGAAAGAUUUGACAUUUUUUCAUGGAGGCCAGUUUGUGCAAAUGAGACAUCACUAAUGCUUCCUAUGACUGGCUGACUAUAAGACCACUCACUGACCAAUGCUUUCCACCGUUUUUUGUCUGCUAUGUCUGAUUGUGACCACGAGGGGUGGUGUUGCUACAGGACACCGAUGCUUUAAUGUGUUAACCGACGGUACAGAAUAAUUUCAAAUCUUCUUUUUGUGAUUGUGCUGUUUUUUGUUUGUUUGGUCGGCUUAACAUGCUUCAUGUUUGUAUAAACGUAUACAACUCAUUAAAUUAUUUUUGUAUUUUUAUAAAGAAAAUUAAGAACUUUUUUCUGUUUGUUGCAGUGCUUGCUGAAGGAGUGCAGUUGUCUCAUAGAUAAAAACAAACUGAAAUCAAUUGGGUUAAUUUACUUCCUGAUUGACUGAGUCGGAUUACUUGUUUUACCUGUUCAUUGGGACCACUUUUCUAAAGGUUGUACAAAUAACCAUUAAGGUAAAUGACAGAUAAGGGUUAGUCUGAUAGUUAACUUAAGUCUGAAUGAACUGUGAUGUGAUUCUGUCUUACAGUUUAGUCACUACAUUUUCCAUCAGCCCUAUUAUGUACAAUGUUGCUGUGGGUGCUCUUGGGAAGCUGCGUUUUAGUGCAUUGUGAGGCCUCUGCUUUCUCCAGCAUAAUGCUAUGUUGUAACUUACUGAGCACACUGUGAAAAAUGUGAUGUCCAAGCUAAAAAUAGAGGCUUACUACAUUCAACACACACACACACAAUGUAAAUGGAAGGCAACAUUUCAACAUACACCUUGUAUUUGAGGUGUGUAUCUUGCAGAGGUGUCAUCCUAAUGCUGUAGUCAUGACUUUCCAGAGGACUGUAAUAUAUACUGUACAUAUUGAUGGGGCUUAUUCACCUUGCAUGAAGUGGGCAAGAAGAGCGGACAUUUUGGUGGUCAAGGCAAGGUUGUUUCAUACUGGGUCCAUAAGGGAUCUGUAGAAAUGUCUGUUGAAUGUUUCCCUAUCAUUGUCUGUUACACCAUUUUUUGUGCAUAACCUCAGUCAGCCUUGUUGGAAUUGAAUUUGCGAUAAUGUUGUUUCAACCAAAAUGUUUAAAAGAAAACAGUGGAUAGAACUUAAUUAUAUUCUUAAAUGUUUAAAAGAACAGAAAUACUGUUGUAUUGUGUAAUAUUUAUGUUAUACCUAUGUAUUUAAAUGAGAUGAUAAAUGUGAGUUUAUAUAAAAUCUAUAAAGUAUUUUUUUCCCGCUGUAAAGAAAUUAUAAAGAAAUUAACUUGACCAUA